rnacentral:lncRNA from 1 species
UUCCCAAUUGUUAAAAUUUCUAGACUAUUCAUAAGUACACAAACUCAUGUGUAUGAUUGUGCAGGCAAGACAUACAAUUAUAAUGCAUAUUAAAUAAAAAGAAAUUAAUAUGUUAUCAAAUUAAUUUCAGUACACGUGAUAAAUGAUAUUAUACUUUAAAAAAAUUACUAUAUUCACCAACUUUUUAAGAAUUAAGUUUUCGUGCCGAUAACGUGUUAUAAAAAGUAAAUACUCUUGUUAUUCACUAAUAAAUUGACUUUGUAGCCAAUGAGGGGCUGAAUCUGGUAGACAAAUGCUCCUUCAACCAAUUGAAGUUAGAGGGGGAACUUGCAAGAUUAUUCAAACGGACCACUUCCAUCUGCCGUAUGUGCAGCAUCGAUAUUUUGACCAAGCCCCCAUUUAGCCUUCCAUCUGCAAGAUUAUUUUGGAGAAUAAGUAGUUGAAAAAGAAAAAAAAAGUUUUCAAUUUACAUGUAAUAUUAUUUUAUAGAAGAUCGUGUGAUUAAAAAUAAGAAAAAAAUAAAAUUUAAUUUAAUGGAGAUCAAACGGGAGCUAAAUUUUGUGAAAGUUUAUACCUUACAUUCUCUGUAAGAGAGGGACUGUCCCUCUUUUAAUCAGGUCUGG